AAUUUCUUUCUCUCACGUCCUUCUUCUCCUAUCUUUCUCUUUAAUCCUCUCAUCUUCUUCUAGACAAUUUCGAACCGAUGAACCAAAUUGGGCACUCCACAUUCACCAUUGAUGUUUCCUUUAGCCAAUGACGAAGUGAUGAACAAGGAGCCUCGCGUCCUCCUCCUUAGCCAGAACAAUAUGAUGCUAGGUUUACUAUUUUUGAGGUUGGUGGAAGUGUGAUGGCUUGGUUGUGGAUGAUUGUAGUGGCUGAGGUUGGUGGAAGCGUGCUACCUUGGUUGUGGAUGAUUGCGGUGCAAUUCAAGUCGGUGCACUUCAAUCUAAAGAUGUUAGCACUUUGAUAAUUAAUAAUUAGUUAUGUUAGAAACCUUGUAACAUAAUUUUUAUUCCUCUAGGAUUGAAAUACUUGUAUUUUAAUUUUUUUUAUAAAUAAAAUGUUAUUAUUAUGGUGUUUUAUU